rnacentral:lncRNA from 1 species
UUUAAAUUAGGGUUUCAAAUCAAUUAGGGUUUAUAAUUUAAAUAUUAGGGUUUCUAAAAUUAGGAUUUCAAAUAUUAAUUAGGAUUUCUCUAAUUAACAUUAAAUUCUAUAAUACACCACUUAAAUCACAUAACACAGUUAUAUAACAGUCUCGAACUCAUAAUUGAGUUUCAAAUUAGGGUUUCCAUUUGGUAAUUCACCAAUUAUUAUUAAAGUUUCUAGUUUCAGAAAUUAGGGUUUAUAAUUAGGGUCUCCUAAAAUUAGGGUUUCCUAUAAUUAGGGUUUUAAGUAUAAUACCUAUACUCAUUUACAUUAACACGAUUACCACACAACUUACACAAUUCUUUAAAGCCGAAAUUGACUUUUUG